rnacentral:rRNA from 1 species
CGCGUAGGCGGGGAGGUAAGUCGGGUGUGAAAUCCCUCGGCCCAACCGAGGAACUGCGCCCGAAACUGCUUCUCUUGAGUCCCGGAGAGGAAGAUGGAAUUCCCGGUGUAGCGGUGAAAUGUGUAGAGAUCGGGAGGAACACCGGUGGCGAAGGCGGUCUUCUGGACGGUGACUGACGCUGAGGCGCGAAAGCGUGGGGAGCAAACG